CAACCCUCAGGUUCCCCCCUAUCGCUCCGGCGGAGGGGGGAAGCCUGGUGUUGGGGGUCCCUCUCCACCCCGCGGCGCUGACCGCGGGGCCCCCGAAAGCCAUCGGCGGUGCCUGCCAGCACUCCGGGCGCAGUAGAAUACACCUCGCCCUGGACGUCUGGCGGCGCGCCGGCCGCUAAAAAGGCCGAGCCACAGCGGCUCGGCACUAUCACAAA
rnacentral:misc_RNA from 1 species